CAAUACUGACACUGAGGAGCGAAAGCGUGGGGACCGAACAGGAUUAGAUACCCUGGUAGUCCACGCCGUAAACGGUGGGCGCUAGUUGUGCGAACCUUCCACGGUUUGUGCGACGCAACUUAACGCAUUAAGCGCCCCGCUUGGGGAGUACGAUCGCAAGAUUAAAACUCAAAGGAAUUGACGGGGCCCCGCACAAGCAGCGGAGCAUGCGGCUUAAUUCGACGCAACGCGAAGAACCUUACCAAGGCUUGACAUAUACAGGAAUAUGGCAGAGAUGUCAUAGCCGCAAGGUCUGUAUACAGGUGGUGCAUGGUUGUCGUCAGCUCGUGUCGUGAGAUGUUGGGUUAAGUCCCGCAACGAGCGCAACCCUCGUUCUGUGUUGCCAGCAUUUAGUUGGGGACUCACAGGAGACCGCCGGGGUUAACUCGGAGGAAGGUGGGGAUGACGUCAAAUCAUCAUGCCCCUUAUGUCUUGGGCUGCACGCAUGCUACAAUGGCUGGUACAAACGGCUGCGAUACCGCAAGGUGGAGCGAAUCCGAUAAAGCCAGUCUCAGUUCGGAUUGGGGUCUGCAACUCGACCCCAUGAAGUCGGAGUUGCUAGUAAUCGUAGAUCAGCGACGCUACGGUGAAUACGUUCCCGGGGCUUGUACACACCGCCCGUCACAUCACGAAAGUCGGUAACAC
rnacentral:rRNA from 1 species